rnacentral:lncRNA from 1 species
UUUUUUGGGUCAAAAUUAAAAUGUCGGUCAAAUCCAUCUGAAAUAUAAUUUUAAACCCCUUUUAAAAUUCAAAUUUAAUACCUCUUUUCGAAAAUUGCAUUUUGACCCUCGAUUUAAAAUUAAAAACAGGUCCUUCAAUUUCGAAAAAUUGCAUGAUAGGUCCCUACUUUAAAAAUUGCAAUAUGACCAUAAUAUCUUAAUUGCAAAUAGGGGCAUCCAAUUUGACAAAUUGCAAUAGAGGCUCCCAUCUCUGAAUCCAUCACACUUUUCUCUCAGGCGGCGCCACCAAUCACCAACUCCCACAUCGCCAUCUUUAUCUAAAUUCACCAUUGACCUCUCCUAGGAACUUCAGUACUCCUUCCACCUCUAAAGGACCUUCGUGAGCCUCUAUCACUAUUUCACCUGCUCUUUAUCAUAUCAUCAAGAGAUAUAUCUGGAGAAGCCAUUAAUUAAGAAAACAAGAAAACCCUAUACUAAACAAGGCAAAUUUGGAUCGAAUUUGAAAUUUUCCAUGACCAAAUUUUCUAAAGGAAAAAAAAAACCAUAAAUAAAGACGACAAAAUGAGUGGCAACUAUGAGAUCUAAAAGAGAUGAGAAUGUUGAUUGAUUGCACAAAGCGAGGCUUCGGAAGACCAAGGGUUAGAAGAGAGAUAGUGUAUUGGAAGUAUUGACUUCUGACCCUUUUUUCGCGAUUCCGUUCUCAAGAAAUUGAUGGAAGCUUCGCCAUUAAAAAUGUAGAGUUGGGUUUUGAUGCGAUUGAUUUUCGUGGGACGGAUGAUAAAGAAUAGGAUUUAGCGGGUUUGGCAAUGGAAAAACUGCUAAAAAAACAAGAACAACAUGAUCAGCCAACGUUUGAUUAUUCGAUGAUGCAAAACAAUUUCUAACAAGUAAAAAUUAGAAACUUUAGAAUUAUUCAGUUAGAGAUUGAGAAAGAAUACUGGUUUUAUAAAGGAUUCUGAUAUUAGCAUGGAGCUCUUAUAUCAGUUGUUGAAUUUAACAAUAAUCAUGUUAAGAAACAAGAAUCACAAUUCCAAAUUGAUAGUUUAAGAUUCAUACAUGCGGAAAAGACAUCUUAGAUAUGAAUAUUAGCAGUUAGAUCUUCCUCUUCUUACUCUUCAAAAAUAUUGAUUGUUAAUGGGUGCAAACCAAUAAAACGAUAUGGAGAGGAACGGGGGCCUUUUAUAUAAAAAUUUAUUGAGCCGUUUCAUUAAUUACUUAAACCCAAUUAGGGUUUAUAUAUUUUGGCCCACAUACUUAAAUUACAAAAUUAUAUAAAAUAUAAUUCGUAAGGUGUAAAAUAGUCCAAAUGAUCACUUAACAUAUUGAGCUUAAUCACAUUAUCAUUAUGAGUCAUAUAUUUAAUCCGUAAAAUUUGCAAUCAAACGGGAAGCCCAUAAUUCAUUAUUAUUCUAACACUACAAUCUGCCCAGUGACAAUUACCGGGGCUAGCAUAGCAAAAUAUUCUACUAAAUGGGCCACGGAGUAUACAUUUCUGAUUGAGAGCACAAUUUAAAAACACUCGCAAGAAUUUAGAAAGAUAAAUUAUGGAUGCUACUUUUGACCUUUUUAUGGUUCCAAAUUGGGGAUUUUGAGUCGUGACUAAGUUACAGUUUGUUCUUUGUCCUUCCUCAGGUGAAGAUUCAUUUCAUCAUCUAGUCUUAUUGAUAUUUUCAGAUUUAAAAUAUGAGCCAUUUUUAAUUUUAUUGGCUUUGCGAAUCCAAUACUCCAUGUCAUUGUUUACCAUGAAAUAAAUAUAAUCUUCAAUUGAUCAAACAAACACAAAGUGAGUUCCAAAUCAAUAAUUAUAACGGAAUUAAUACUGUGAAUUAAAGAUAAACCGUUCACUUUCAAUUAUCACAGAGAUUGACACCAAAAAUGAAUUGAAUAGGGCUCAGAUCAAUAACCCAAUAACACACAAAGCAACUCCAUGAGAAGAAUCAUACUCAAAAUCACAGAGGAAACCGUCCAAGGAAUCACACAGAGACAUCUGCUCAUGGAGGCAGCAAGGCGACAACAGAGCAAGGGAGAAAUCAAGAAAUAGAAAGCCAAAUCAAGUAGCCAAGUCAGAAGCUAGGAUGUCGAAAAGGUAAGACACAGAGGGUUUCACAAAAGGGACCGCGCGAAGGAGGUAGCAAAGUCAUGGAGAGGAAGUAGCCGAAAGGUCUUGCCGAAAAUGGGGCUAAAGUAUUAAAAUUGUGUGCAUGUAUAACAAUACCUCAAAGGGCACAAAAUAUAUACAGUACACUUUAGGUCAAGUAUGUGGGUCGGACCCUAAAUGUAAUACUCGAUCCAAUUUCUUUUAUGGGUUACUAAUUGUGGUUAUUAGGUCGACUAUUUUAAAUAGUCUCAAUAAUAGGUUCCAAAUGAACCAAAUGAUUUUAAUCCGAUCCGACAAAUUCAUCAUCGCUCCAGGUUUAUAUGGUAUCAAAAUACCUAACAAACAUCCACUUUGAUGUUAAAAAUACAUGCAAAAGAGAAAGAACUAGUUUCACACAACGUGAUUUCAAAUAAAAUUGAAACAUCACAUACUUUUACAGAUGUUUAGAAGUGCAAGGCAACUUAUAAACUUUACCAAGGGAGCACCUUAGUGCCCAUACACGCGGGGUUAUAAUCUGAAUGCACUUUUUCAAGUUUUAUCAAAUCUUGAGACACCAUAUCUCUAUUAAAAUAUAGCCUAACAUCAAUAUAUUUAGUGCAUUCAUAAAACAAGGUAUUCUUACACAGAUGAAUAGUAGGUGACUAUUAGAGUAUACUAUCAUAUUAUCAUUUAAAACACCCAGUUCAUUAAGUUUCCCAAUAUUUGGGACUAGGAUUAGAUAUGUACAUACUUAACACAGUUAUAGUUAAAGCUAAAUCAGGUCUAGUACAGACCAUAACGUACACAACAGAGUCAAUGACAUUUGAAUGGGGAAUAUUAUUCAUAAAUUCUUUUUCUUCAUCAUUAGAAGGCGAUUGUUGUUUUUGACAAAAUAAAAUAGUUUUCAAGAGGUAGAGAAGCAAUUUUGCAAUCAAGAAUGCCUAAUUUCUUCAAAACUUUAAGUGCAUAAGGAGUUUGAUGCACAUACAAGCAAGAAUUAGACAUAUCCCAUUUAAUCUCUAUACUAAGGAUCCUCCUAGCAUGUCCUUGGUCUUUCAUAAAAAAAUCAUUUUCUAACUCCAUUUUAAUCUUGCUUACCACCUUUAUGUUAUGUCCAAUUAACAACAUGUCAUCCACUUAAAUUAACAAUUACAUACACUCUAUAUUAGUGCUAUGUUGUCGGUAAUACAAGCAAUGGUCAAACUCGUUGGUAUUGUAGAAUCAAACUUAAGCUGUUGGAUGAGAUAUUUAGAACACUUGAUCACGUUUGACAUGUUUCAAAUUUGAACAAAAAUCCCAUGCCGUUGGCUACUCUUAAAUCAAAAGGGUAUUGGUUAAUUGGUAGAGGUGGAGCUUUGAAAGUUUGCAAAGGUGUCCGGGUUGUAUUGGAAGGAUGGAAAAAGUCCCAAUUAUAUCUUGCAAGGUUGUGAAGAAUUGUUGAAGAACAAUUAGCAAAAGUGUUUAAUACCGUAGUAGGUGUUCAAUUUGGUACAAUACUAUUAGUAUUUAGUUUGGCAUUUGUGUAAAAAAAUACAUCUCAAUCGAGUUUAGAGUAUAUGGGUAAUACCAUUUUGUCAUCAUCCCAUGCAUUUAAUUGCAAGGGAUAGACUCAUUGGAGAAAGGUACGAAAAAGCUGAUUUUCUUCUGCAUGCUUCAAGUGUACUUGAAGGUAUUCUAUCUAGGAAGGGGCCUCCUACAAAAGCAGUUAGGGAAGAUUUUGUUUCAGGAUAUAUUCGUCCUUGUUUGGUAAGUUUUAAAUUAUUUGUGAUUUUUUGGGAACCUAAGGUAAUUCUGCGAACUAGUGCUUGGAUUCAUUUAUUUUAGUUGGGUAUUGAGUAAGAGGUGGAGAUUUUUGUUCAUUAAAGAAGUUAGUUUGAUUCUUGUUGAAGAGUUCAGUUCAUUCGUUCAGUUGACCUUUUUUUCAGGUGGAAAAAUUUUGGACAGUCAUUCAUUGUAGUAAAAUUUGUGUCAGGGUGAGUUUGUGUUCCAAAUUCAUAUAAAUUUAUGUGGUUUAGUGUAUUGGGCCUUGAAGACGUUUAAAUAGUGUCCAAGGAAGAAAAAGGGAUCGACGGCACUAACCUACUGCUAGCUGGAUGCUCGAGCGACAAGACGAAAUUUUCAACAGUAGACUGCCAUCCGCUGGUGCUUGAGGGCCACUGUCGUCUGGGAUUUUCCUUGUUUGUUUAUUGCACGCAUUUUUGAUCUAAUUUGUAUCUUUUGGACUAUUAUUAAGAUUUGACAUGUACCCCUAUAAAUAGUAAAUUCUACUUUAAAAUUAGCCCUUGUUUGGUACCAAUUAAAAUCUAAAUUUUAAUCUAAGUCAAAGUAAAUAAUUAAUUUUAACCAUAUAUUUUAUGGGUUUCACAACUUUUCAGCCACACAUUUUAUCAGCUUUUAUCAAAAUCUACUAAAAAUCUGAUUUUAAUCCUUACCAAACAAGGGCUUAGAUUUAUUACUGAGAUUAGAAUUAUUGCAAGAGACACAAUAUUAUUUUAAUUUCUUUCUCCAUUAUAGUUGAAUAAAAUCUCAAAUUCAUCUAACAAAUUAAAUUCUUGUUCUAGCGUUAUUGUUGUUUAUGAUCAAUACUUCAUAUGUGGCAUAUACCUCGUCCUAUUUUCAAAAUUGUCUUAAGAAAUUUUCUUAUACAGAGUAUGCAUGUAAUAGUUACAUUACCUCUAGAUAACAUAUCACAUAAUAUGUUUAGAAGUUCCGUAAAGUUAUUAUUUGACCAACCUCUAAUAGUUUUAAGCUUAUAUGAGGUCACAAUUGAAGAAUUUUUUUUGUAUUUUUCAUUUCUUGGAUACAAAGGAGUUUCCAUAUCCUUCAGCAAUCGACUAAUGUCAUCAUCCAAAUCCUCUUCAAAAGCAUCGUUUUUAUGUUCUUCAUUUGUGUGUGCAGCUUCUAACAAGUUGAAUAUUUCAAUCUUACUUGUAGAAUCAACAUUACUUAUUAGAUUUUCUCGAUGGUGAAACCAAUUUGUGUAAGUCAGAUCCAUUCCUCUUAUGACCAUGAACAAUAUUUAUAUAUCGAUGGCUUAAGUUUCGACAACGUCUACAAGGACAUAACAUAUUAUCUGGAUUGUCUAAAUUAUGAUGAGCAGUGUUGAUAAAAUUUUCUGAUGCUUUUUUAUGUACUCUUGUGAGGCUCUAACAAAUUUAAAAGACAAUGUUCUGAGAUUUAACUAUAAAAUGUUAAAUACAUAAAUUACACGACAAAAUACAAAUUACUUAUUAGGACGCACCCAUUCUUUAUCCAUAAUUUGUGGAACCCAAAUAUUAUCCUAGUAGUAUAUUGGAGUAUGCCUUUAUUCGAGACGAAACAUUUCCAUCUUAUUUAGCAAUAUCUAGCUGUGCAUAACAAAGACAAAAUUUUGUGUCUAAAAAAGCUAUGUCAACAAUAUUUGUGUCCAAUGCCACUUAAAAUCGGAAAUUACAAUGAAUCCAAAAUCAAACAUAUGUAUAUUUGAUUGAAGAUUAUUUCUAAACUGUAAUUGGAACAACUGUCUAUUUCACUAUUUUAAAGUUUUUUAUGCAUUUGGGAACCUAUUGAACAUGGGAGAAUUUUCCAAGAUGAAAAGCAAUAGAGAAAACAUGACUUACUGGUGUCAAAUUCGUCAAAGGUCUCAAAGCCUUUAAAUCAAGAAAUUGUCAAGAAAACAUGACUCGAUACUUAUUUUGCUAAACUGUCAAGGAAGUAGGAUUCAAAUUUCCUUUAAUAGCCUUUGAAUCGUUAUUUUAUAUGAACAAGUCACAAGGCCAAUCAGGCUAUGAAAUUCUUAUUUUCCAAAUUUGUCGAGAAAGUGAGAAGUUUGCAAAUUAACAUAGUAAAUUUGCAGAUAACAAAAUCUCAAAAAGCUUUGAAAUUUAUGGAAAUAGGAAAUCUGCAAAAAAACAUUACAACUUAUUUCUAUGAAAUCCAAACAAAAUAAAUUAAUAGCUUAUUCAAAAGCCAGUGAAAGGAAUGAAAAAUUAAUAACAGAAUGGUAAAAUAUUAUUAUCAGAAGGAGAACACAAGUUACCUUCAUCACACCUCUAUAAAUAGCAAAAUAUUUUUUCACAAAAUGUGAUAUCUCCUAUACACCAUAAAAACACUGAAUAACAUAUAACACUUAACAAAGUAAAGAAUCAUAUAAACUCAAACUCAAAAAAAAAAAAAAAAAAAUAAAUAAAAUAAAAUAUAGGGACCUUGAGAGAAAUUUACACACAGAUUUGUAGAGGGUUCUUUGUUGUAGUAGAUGUAACAACUCAAAAAAGUUUUUUUUUUUUUUUUUUGAAGGAAGCGAAAGAGAAACAAUCUCCCCGUUCUCCAGAUUCAAAAUGUAGAUGUUUCAAAUUUCCCUUUCACUAUUAAACAAAAAAUUUCAUAACAGAGAGAAGGAUAGAAUUAGCAGGUAAAAGUUGAAAAAUUCAAGAUGAAUCCGUGGUGAUGAAGGGUGAUUUGCUGAAAAAAAAAUAAAAAAAAAUAAAGAAUGAAUUGGUAGGGAAAAGGAGACACAAGGAACAGGGUAGAGGAAAACAAACGAUAUUUGGGGGGGCGAGGGACCAAAAUAGGGUAGAAAUAGUGGAAUUCAAUAUUUGAGUAAAUUAUGGAUGGAAGCAUUUUAGGCUUGGCCUUUUAAUAAAUGCUAUUAUAUAAUAUUUUAAUAAAAUUCAAUUUUAUUUUAUAGCAUUAUCAAUAAGAAUGUUAUAUUUAAAUGUUAUAAAAUGUGUAAAAUGUUGUACUCUGUUAUCCUCCGGUGUCAAUAUUGUGCACCAAAAGUGCUAAGGUCUAGGCACCAACCACUUAAUAAUUAUUCGAAGCUGACAAUGAGAAGAUAUGUUCAUGAGUUUAUUAGGCAAUAAACAGAUUCAAGGAAGUGCCCAGGGGCGAAUCCAUGUUAGCUCUAGUGCAGGCAGGUGCCUGCAUUGAACUUCAGGCCCAAAAAUUUUGAGAAAAAGAUAUAUAGAAUAUAGAAAGAGGUGUAAGGAUUUUUAAUUAAAGAUGGGUUUGUAUGUGUGAAUAAUUGUGUGUUAAAUUAUAGGCUAUCGAAUUCGGUUGAGCCCAAUUAAAGUGAUCUAAUAAGGCUUAGGUUUUGGAUUUUAAUGUAUCCAAUUAAAGUAUGGGUUUACAUAUGUGUAGAGACCGGACCCAAAUCCUAAUUCUAUGAUGGACCGAAUUAGGUCAAAGGGCGUCCCUAUAUAAAUAGGUUAUGGUCCCCAGAUCACACGCACGUAUUAUUCAUUCUCUACUGCAUUCCAUCACAGAGAAGAAAAAGAGACUGCGUAUAGAUUUGAAAGAUUACACUGCGAAAUUCAUAUUGCAUUAACCAUGUCCGAUUUAGGUAUAUUUUCGCUUUAAUUCUUGCAUUUCUUGAUGAUUUAACAUGAAAUAUUCGAUAAUUUAAAGCACUAAAUUAUCCAACAAGAGGAAGAUAAGAGGGAUUGGCACUUUAAAUAUUGCAAGAAAAAUGAUGGGGACUGCCGAGAAAUGAGUGGAACUGCUCCACCAAAUUAGGAAAAUUAUUCCACCAGUAAACACAUUCGCCCUCUUUUGUUUUUAGAGAUUGCUUGUGUCAAUUUUCAUUUGACAAAAUAUUUGGUUCAAAUGCUGUGGCUUUUGUGAGCAAAAAUUGUCUAUUAAUUCGUGAUAUAGUUAGAUGCUAUGUGGUUUUCUGCGACUCACCCUACCUUCUUUAGAGCACAUACCUUCUUGCGUAGAUGGGUGUACCAGUAGACAGAAGACAGUUGCUUUUCAAAUCAUUAAAAGAAAAGUCAUUAAGAAAUUAUGAUUCUUGAUGUUUUGAGGUUGUGAAUUCUCAAUUUCUCUUUUAAGAACCCAAUUCUGAAAAGCCAAAAAGAGUUUAAAAUUUAAAAACAUCUCAGAUGUUCAAGAAAUUAAGCAAAAAAUGAGAAUAAUUUUUGUUUGCAAAAACAUGGAAACGUACCUGGUAUUGCAAGAUUGCUGGAGGUUCUUCUUCUAGUCUUGAAGCCAUUGAGAGAGAGAGAGUGGUGCGGGUUUUGGG